GCAGAGGCUGAAGAAGAGUUGGAGGCUGAUUCAGCCUGGUGGGGAGCGAGCUGAGGAGGAGCAGUCUGGGAAGAAGAACUCUUGAUGGCCUGCUUCCCAUCCUCCAUCCUGGAAGACUGAUCUGAAACCCCAGGAGGAGGUCCUCUGAGCCCUGAGGCAGAGAUCUCUCACCUGGAAGAUGGGUCUAAUGACUGCGCCCCACACACACCAGAGAGGACUGCAGAUAGUGCGGGAUGAGAGGAAGAUCUCUGGCCCUGGAGACAGCAUCAUCAAGCGGUAGCUUCAUCUUUGGGAGCUGGGGCCUCUGCAGGAGCUUUACCCUCCUCUCUCCAUGCUGAGCCUGUCUCAACCCCCUAACCUGCACCCCAGUCUUUUGGGGUCACCUCAAGGCUUUGGCUGAUGCUUCUUUGCUGACGUCAACCAAGGUGAUGGACCCAUUUGUCCUUGUAAAGUAACUCUUGAACAUACAGGCACUUCUCCCUCCCUCCUCUUGCUUUGAAGGGUGGGUGGGCACCUGCCACCAUGGUCAGGGUGAGGGCCAGCCCCAUACCCCCAAUGUCAGAAGGCAGCUGCCCCUGGCCUGUGGGUUUAUCUCAGAGGGGCCAGGUUUUCCUCACUGUGUGUCCCCAGCACCUAGCCUGGGGCCCAGCCCAGGGUCACACUCAGUAAAUACUGGCUGAGAAUUAAGGGGGAACUUUCUCGUUCCCCUCCAACACUUUUCUUUUCUUUUUUUUGAGACAGAGUCUCACUCUGUCGCCCAGGCUGGAGUGCAGUGGCGCGAUCUCGGCUCACUGCAACCUCCACCUCCCAGAUUCAAGUGAUUCUCCUGCUUCAGCCUCCCGAGUAGUUGGGAUUACAGGUGCCCGUCACCACAUCCGGCUAAUUUUUGUAUUUUUAGUAGAGACGGGGUUUUGCAUGUUGACCAGGCUGGUCUCGAACUUUUAACCUCAAGUGAUCCACCCGCCUUGGCCUCCCAAAGUGCUGGAAUUACAGGCAUGAGCCACCGCACCUGGCACCAAUGCUUUUCUGCAAGUGCUAGUGUGUGCCAUAGAGACAUCUGUGCAUGCCCAGGGGCGGCUGAGGGGCCAUAAGCCUCCUUUGACUCCAUUAUCUUGCCUGUGCAGGCCAGACGAUUGCCUGAACCCACAAUAGCUUCACCAGAAGAGGGGCUUACUCAUCACUUCCACACAACCUGUGCCCCUCCCCCACUGGGACCAGCUGGGGUUGAGGGGGUGAGGGUCAGGCUGGGGAAGGCUCCUGGAGAUUGCAUUUGCAACCUACCCCUCCCCUGCCAACCUCUAUUACCACACUGAGAGGAACAGGGAGACAUCACUAAAUUGAGGACCUAGGUAGAGAGAGAAGAAGAGAGUGUCCUGUCAGCCUUCAAAGGUUAUUCAGAGCUCUUGGUGCAGGAAGGCCCUGCUAGAAAACUCCAAGAGUCCAGGAGGGCCUUGGGCAUAAAAGCUCAGAGUUGUCCUCAAGAAGCAACUGCAUGGCAGUUAUAUCAGAUGCACAUUCAACAAUAAUAAUAGCAAAACCUUACACAGACCUACAAGCCCUUAUCCACACUUCAGAGAUCCCAGUGUUUCUGAACAAAAUAAUGUAACACCAAAACUCAUUGGGUAGCCAAAACCUAACCUGAACAGAUGUAUGAAUACUCGUAUAUUGUUUUCUGCAGAAAUAUUAAUGUGUUUCGUUAUGGGAUGCUAAGCCAGAUCCCACUACCCACUAGUGUGUUAUAUAAGUCAUGUGCUUUCCAAAAUCCCAAAACUCCCUAAAUUCCAAAAUGCAUCAGGAUCCUGAGACACUGGAGUUUCAGUUAAGGAGUUGUGACCUGUGUAGCUUCCUCCAUGACAGGCACUGUUCUAACUGCUCUCCAUAAUAUUAAUUCAUUCAAUCCUUACAAUGACCUGACAGAGUAGAACUUACUAUUAUUCUUCCAAUUUUAUAGAUAAGGAAACUGAGGCAGAGAGAGGUAAAGUGACUUGCCCAAACACAUACAGCUAAUGAAUGCUGCAACUGAAGCUUCCAGAGCCUAGUUCCAGAGCCCACUCUCCGAACAAGUCUACCAUCUAUUUCCCUUAAAAGGGCUGGUGAGGCCGGGCGCAGUGGCUCACACCUGUAAUCCCAGCACUUUGGGAGGCUGAGGUGGGUGGAUCACCUGAGGUCAGAAGUUUGAGACCACCCUGCCAACAUGGUGAAACCCCAUCUCUAUUAAAAAUACAAAAAUUAGGUGGGCGUGGUGGCGGGCACCUGUAAUCUCAGCUACUCGGGAGGCUGAGGCAGGAGAACUGCUGGAACCCAGGAGGCAGAGGUUGCAGUGAGCCGAAUCCGUGUCAUUGCACUCCAGCCCAGGCCAACAACAGCAAGAAUUCGUAUUAAAAAAAAGGCUGGUGAGAGGGGCGUGGAGGUUGAGGGGUGUGGUAAACUGUAGGAGAUAACGAUUUUAUGUUGUGUGUGUGCUAUGGUUUGGAUGUGGUUUGUCUCCUCCAAAAUGCAUGUAGAAACUUGGUCCCCAAUGUAAUGGUAUUGGGAGGUGGGGCCUUUAAGAGGGGAUUAGGUCAUUAGGAGGGAUUAAUGCCUUUCUCACAGGAGUGGGUUAAUUCUCACAGAAGUGGGUGAGUUAUUGAGAGCAGUUCAUUACAAAAGUGAGUUUGGCUUCCUCGGCUUUCUCUUGCUUCCUCGGCUUUCUCUUGCUUCCUCUCACCCUACGAUGCAUUCUGCUGUGUUACAACACAGCACGAGGCCCUCACCAGAAGCUGACCAGAUCCAGCCACCCUGUCUUGGACUUCCCAGCCUCCAGAACUGUAAAAAACAAACCCCUUUUCUUUGUCAAUUACCCAGUCCCAUGGGUUCUAUGACAGCAACAGAAAGUGGACAAAUUGUGUAACAUGCACAUGUCCAGGAGGGUGUGUGAGAGGUAAUCCUGUUGUUACGGUUGUUCUGUAGGGUGACCACAAUUGGGAAUUUCCCUGGGACUGUUUUGGUUUUAGCACUGAAAACUCUGUAUUUCAAUAAACUACUCAGACCUGGUAAACCAGGAUGGUUGGUCACCCUAGUUCUUGGCCUCUUUUCCUAUGAGCAACAUGAGGCUCAUGACCCACUGAGGAAGAUUCUAGGAUCUGAAGAUGCACUUUGUCUACAUAACACAGCUUCUCAACCCAAACCAGGAUCUCCAGCAGGCACUUACUCAAGACAUGGGGAAGAAGCCCCGGAGAAAAUGCUGGCUGUAUCAGAUUCAGUGAGGGACGAUGCCUCUGUCUCCACCUGGCAUCUUCCUAAGAGGUUUUCAAGGACCAAUGUGACUCUAUCAGGCUUUCACCUUGAGUGUUGAUGCUGGCCUCCAUUGUAAAUACAGUGGGAAUACACUUGAUAUUCUAAUUUAGAAAUGCCUGACUCUCAUCCCCAGCUUUGAAUUUUAACUCCUCAAAGUCCAAAGUGACUUCUUAGGAAUGACCCACACCAUGAGCUCAUAUCUAUCUUCCUGAGGCCUGCCCAGACCUGUCGAAGUAGAGAGAAGAAGACAAGGCCCCUGCUCUUGAGAAGCAGAAAACGUAUGAGGAAGAAAAUAGCAGAUGAGAAGAAUCAACCAAAUUCCGGAAGCUGGAAGGCAGAUGGAAGAAGGCCCUUGAAUGAUGCCAGCACCUUGAUAUUGGACUUUCCAGCCUCCAGAACCAUGAGCCAAUACAUUUCUGUUCCAUAAAAAUUACCCAGUUCCAGGUAUUCUGCUAUAGCAGCACAAAAUGGACUAAAACAAUGUUGGCACAAGACUCAGUGCUGGGCCUGGCAUGCAACAGGUCCUUGGAGUGGCGUGCUGUGUGGAUAAUGAAUAUUGGGGAAGGCAUCUCUCUCCAGCCCCUCUCAAGCUUUCUGUAGUCACUGGUCCACUCUGUAUUGCUAUGAAGAAGCUCAAGACCAGCCUGUAUCACUCGGGGUCCUGGCAGGAACCAGGUGCCACACUCAAACUGAGUAAUUGAAGAGGGUUUAAUAUGGGAGUUAUUUACAUAGGUGUGGGCUGGUGUAGCUGCCCAUAUGCCCUCAAAAUCACCUCUACAUGGCAAUAGCUACUUACUGCUAACAGAGUCUCUCUCUCAUUGCUGCAAAUAUUUUCUAGCCAUGCAAGAAACUCAGCCGGUCAUGUUGAACAAACUAAGAGUGCCAGGAAGUUAAUGUCCUGGAAGCAUUGCCAGAGGGGAGGGGGCAGUUAGAUUCCCCAGCUUCCUCGCUCCUCUGCUGGGUUAAGCCUGCAACAUAUUCAUCAUCUCCCAGAGUGCUGCCCAGGGAUAGAGCUCCAGGUGCUCAGUGUGGUGACCUGCUCAUGUCAGCUUCUUCCCCUUUCCUGUCUUGUUUCGCACCCACAUCCUUCCCAUGUUUCCUCUUCCCAAAUAAACUACUUGCAUUGAAAUCUUUGUCUCAGGCUCUGCUUCUGGGGAAACCUGAAC
rnacentral:lncRNA from 1 species